rnacentral:lncRNA from 1 species
ACUAAACGAACCUCUGUGCAUAAGAACCUUCUGAAAUAUUUAGGGAAAACCGUUGAAGAAGUGGGUCUAAUGGUUGGAUUGUGGUGACGAGUCUCAUACUAUAUCAGUUAUAUGAUUGACUAAAUCGUAUGAUCAAAUUCUUUUGCAGGUUGCUACAAACUAUUAAAAUUUUGAGGCAUAAAAUGCUCCACUUGGCUUAAUAAUAUUAAUGUCAUAUUCUUUUAUCAUUUCAAUAUAUUAAUGUCAUGUUGCACCAGUGCUUCUCAGUAUAUCUUCUACAAAAAGUUUUAAACAAAUAAUAGAGGCAUAUAGUUUAAUUGUAUAGAGCAUAUAGGACAAGUAUAAGCUGGGACAGUACACGAACUGGAAAAAAUAUUGAAUAAGAUCUAGACUUGUCCUAUGGGUUGACAUUAGGAUUAUAGUUUGAACUAACACACUAUGGAGGUAUUAAGGAGGUUCAAACCUUCUUUUGUUGUUUAUUCAAGUUGGGCUAUGAAGUUCAUGGCAGUAUCUUCAAGCAACUGCGUUAAUGCUUUGUUCCCUCUAACAACGUGUCAGUUUCUUGAAGUAGUCUACUCCUGAGUUCGUACUAGCAUUAAAAGGAAGAUUAAUGUGAUGCCUGCACUCUGAGUCCACUAUCUUCAGACUAAGGGGGUGUUUGGGAAACACCUGUUAAAGUUUAACACCUGUCACAUCGGAUGUUUGGAUGCUAAUUAGGAGUACUAAACAUAAGCUAAUUACAAAACUAAUUGCACAGAUGGAGUAUAAUUCGCGAGACGAAUCUAUUAAGCCUAAUUAGUCCAUGAUUUGACAAUGUGGUGCUACAGUAACCAUUUGCUAAUGAUGGAUUAAUUAGGCUUAAUAGAUUCGUCUCGCGAAUUAGCACAGGGUUCUGCAAUUAGUUUUAUAAUUAGCUCAUGUUUAAUCCUCCUAAUUAGCAUCCGAACAUCCGAUGUGACACUGUUAAAGUUUAGCACCUCGUAUCCAAACAGCACCUAAGUUAAACAAGUUCUUUAGCUUAAUGCAUUGUUUUUCCCUUUUUAUUUUUUAAGGAUGCUUCGGAUGCUUUAAUGCAUUGUUAGUUGGGCGCGCUCGUGCGUGUGUGAGAAGAUUAGGCGUUUGACUCACUCCUGCAACAUUAAUGCGCAGGAUCUUUUCACUUGUUAUUAGAAUAUGAUAUUUAGCCUUAAAUCUCUUUUGAACCGCGAGUUACAAGAGAGCUGCCGCACUUAAACCCCACGGUGUUGCAAGGUUAAGAUAUUGGCGAAGAUGUUCCCUUCGUGGGUGGGAUGAUCUAUUUGUCUAUUCUUCCAACGCAACAGGGGAAGAGAUGGAAAACUAAUGCCGACUGCCAAUGGGAAAAUUGCUAGCUGUUUUUCUACACAUCUCUUCGUUCAUUUGUAGAGAUUACGUACAGUGGAAAUCAAGUGCUAAUCAUAUGAGUUCUGGAGCUUCCUAUUGCAAUAAUUUGCUUUUUUAUCCACCUUUUUCUCCCUUAGGAUUUGAAGGGGUUGCAUGCAAUAUACGAUGAUAGAUCACAUGUACGACUAUAUAACACACUUCUGGAUAAUUGGGUGCAACAAACAUUACUUCAAACUAUUGCCAUCUUGCGGCAAAUGUUUUACUGAAGUUUUUGCUGGAUACUAC